rnacentral:rRNA from 1 species
CCUACGGGACGCAGCAGUGGGGAAUAUUGCACAAUGGGGGAAACCCUGAUGCAGCGACGCCGCGUGAGUGAAGAAGUAUUUCGGUAUGUAAAGCUCUAUCAGCAGGGAAGAAGAAAGACGGUACCUGACUAAGAAGCCCCGGCUAACUACGUGCCAGCAGCCGCGGUAAUACGGAGGAUGCGAGCGUUAUCCGGAUUUAUUGGGUUUAAAGGGUGCGUAGGCGGUUUGUCAAGUCAGCGGUAAAAAUUCCGGGCUCAACCCGGUCCCGCCGUUGAAACUGGCGAACUCGAGAGGGAGAGAAGUAG